CUGGAUGCCCCUCCCACUCUAUUACAAACUGCACACGGUAUUGGCUAGUUUCUAUCCUCGGAUCCUCUGAAGGGACUUUCGGACGUCACUGCCAUGUGGUAGUACCAUGUGACCGCUCUAUUGCGCAUGCCCCAUUAUUGCGCGGUGCAUUCAAACACGCAGACAGCGACCAUGUCACAGGACCUGCAACUUUUAAUUGGUUGACAACUUGUAAUCUGCCGUUGGAAUCCUCACAUCCCGACUCCUUUUGUCUCUAUCGUUUGGUGCGUUUUCCUAUUGUUUUGCCAGGAAUGGAAGUGGCGGUCGUUAAAGAAAAGCUUCAGUUUUAUUUAUUGUGUCAUAGAUUUGUUGUCUGAUCCCGCUUUGUCUUUUCAUUUAUGUUUUAAUAAAAUUAUAAAUAAAAUUACUUUUUUGUUUGAA